UGGUAGAUGUGAUAAAAUUUGUUAAUUUUAUCAUAAUGCAUUUGAGCAUGGCAUAAGAACCUUAUAUUCCGUUAAAUAUAUAUUUUUUGUUUUGUAUUUUUUAUUAAACGUGGGGUAAUAAGAAUUAUAAUUUUGAAAAGCAGAAUUUCCUGUUAACCGUUACCAUAAAGCGGAAAAAUUGCUAAAUGAAUGGUUAAAAUACUGAAUAUUAUAGUUUUUAUCUCCAGAAUUAUGGUUCUUGUCCUUACCAAAUAGUACAGUAAAUUUACCGAAAAAUUGUUCUCCGUGGAUAUAUCUCAAAAGUUUCCGUAAUUUUUUACUCAGAGUUUUUUUUUUCUGUAAAGAAUAUGCUACCCAACAACAUGGAAGUAUGAAUUUUAAAAACAAUAAAUAAAAAGAAAAAUCCAAACUCUGAUUUAAUACCAGAAGAACAAGGAAUAUCUUUUCCAAAGUCAACGAAUUAUUUUUUGAUAAAAUUUGUCGGAACAAAUAGGAGCGUUUUCUUGUAAAGCUUACACAUAGUAAGCUGUUAAUUUUAAAUAAAUGCAAAAAAUAUGUAUGUUGUUUCAUUUUAAUCAGAUGAGAACAGUGCCUCAAGUAUCGUCAAUGGAACAGAUGAUGUGACGAUGAGCAAAAUAAUUCCUUGCACUAAAUUGACGCGGCAAAACUACAUAGAUUUGUUAUGGACAAGCUCAGCGGAAUUUCCUGGACUCGUACUCUUUACGUUUUUGGUUGAGUGUUGUUCACGGAAACUACUGCUGGGAGGUGCGUGCGCAUUCAGUGGAAUCAUGAUAUUUCUCCUUCUUUUGAAAACCAA